CUGCCUCUCUCCAAAGAGCUCAAAGCAUUUUGCAAGCAUCGCUCAAGAAGUCAGCAGCAGAACCCAGAACCUAAGUCCCAGGAGUCUUGUCUCCCAGUCAUAGCUGCCUGCCCCUCCUCACAGGUCCCCGUUGCCUGACAGUUUCAAGCUCAGUGCAUUGGAGAAAAGAAAGGGCACCGAGCUGGGGGUACCUUACAACGGCAAGAUACAGGAACCAGAAGGCAGGCUCGACACAUAAAGAAGAGGCUAGUGACUUACUUGUAGGCCGGAGGAAGUGAGAACUAGGUUCCACGAGACGAGGAGCACUGAGCACCCCGCGACAUAACAAUGAAGAGUCCAGAGGCUCCUGCCUGAGCCAUUUCCCCCUCUCUGAGUUUUCUGAGUUUCCAGAGGACAGAGAGGUCCGACUCUCUGUCAUCUCCCUAGUACAACGAAGAUCAGCUGUCAAGUCCUGUCAAGACAGGGCUGGAUCCCAGACCGUAGCUUGGGGACUUUGGAAGGCUUGGCAAGGCCGAGUUUCCAGAUGCCCCAAGGGGGAAGGAAG